rnacentral:lncRNA from 1 species
GAGAACUUGCUCUGGUUGCGGACAAGGAGGAUAAUAAUUCAUCCUUAAUGAUUGCAUCCCGUUUUCAAACAGCUCUUUCAUGUCAUUGGGAUCCAUUCUUAGAGCUUUAGCCAUUAGGUCAAGGAUUUUCAAGGUAAGAUUUUUAAGUUCCGUUAAGUAAACUUCCAAGUCAUCUCUGCAUGCAAAUAAUAAUAUAUAGUCCAGUAAUUAUCAUAAGAUAGAAUAUUCUAUAUAAGAAAAGUCUAAAAUUUAAGUAUAGAACCUGAAUGGAAGAGGCAACUUGGGGAACAAGUGGGGUUUCCUCAGAUGGGUUGGGAGAGUGAACAUAGUAAAGCCGUAUCCCCAAUCAAGCUUCUGCUCUUCAGACGUAAUAAAAAGCUGCCCAAAUCCCUCAAUAUCUCCUGGCUGCUGCCAAAACUUCUUUUUCUCAUCAAUUGGAAGAUUAAAGAAUUCUUGAAUCUCUGCUUUCACUUUCUCCACCAAUGAACUGCUCACUCCAUGAUUCAUCAACUGCAUAUAUGCAAAUUAAAGCAAGAUGUUCUUUCCAUAUAUACAUGGUUCAUAAAGGAAAUUUUGAAGUUCUGGAAACAAAAUGAUUUUUAUGGAAAAAGCUAAAGAAACGGAGAGCUGAUAAAAUGCUGACAAAAACAACGAUAAAUCAGUGUCUGUUUAAUGGGUUUACAAUCAAGUGACUAAUCCGGUACUGAUUUACUUUGUUUUUUGUAAACGUUUUGUCUAAUUUUUAUUAUCUGAAUAUCACUGCUAAAUUGUUAUGUACCUGAAAGAAACCCCAGUCUUUACAUGCAUGGUUCAUAUAGGAAACUUAAAGCUCAGGAAGUAAAAUGAUUUUUAUGGAAAAUGUAAAAACACUGAGACCUGAAAAAACGCUAACCAAAGCAAUGAUUUGCAAUCAAUUAAGUAUUUUCAUUAUAUGAAUAUCACUGCUCAAUUAUUAUGUACCUGAAAGAAACCCCACUCUUUACAUGCAUGGUCAAGCUUCUCAAGCUCUGAGUCAUCCCCAGAGAGCAACGUGUGCAUGUCAAUGACUGGAAGUUGUUGUGCUGAAGAAUCGUCGUUGCGAAUCAAGGGAUGGUCUAUCUCAGGGCGAACAUAACGUGGCGGAACAGUUGUCAGUGGCAGAUUA